GGAACAUCAAAUAGCCUUGCUAGGGUAAAAAGUCAGCUUUAGAUCAGAACAUCUGGUCAACAGCAAGAUCAGGACAUAGCACACUGACUGCACUGCGAAACAACCAGCAAGAACAGUUAACCAGAAGAGUGUUGUUUAUCAACUAGCUCCACCAGACCAGCACUAACCAGCUACACUAGCUUGGACCUGAAUGCAAUGCAAGCUUGAACGCGAUUAUGAAGUGUCGCUGAUGUUGGAAAGAACAACAGGAGGAGACUUCCGACCUUUUGGGGUUGUAAAGUGAAAUGUCUGAGACAGAAACACAGAGUCCGCCAUCUCACAAAGAAAACACGCUGCUGACCACACAUCCGGACAAUUAAUACCUUGUUUUUAAUGCUUUUUUUUUUUGUUGUUUUGUUUUGUUUUUUUACUGCUUAAUCAUCGUUCAAGAACAAAAGCUCUACAGUAUAAGAUCUGAAUGACCCUGAAAUGUGUGUUCCAAAUCCGUUUUAAAAUUAAGUGCCUGCUUACAGAACCUCCCAUGGCAGAAACUGACCUUCUGUUUUGUUAAUCCAAAAAUCAGGAACUCAUUAAAUGUCCAUAUUCGUCAGUUUCUUUUUAUUACCAAUUUCGAACCGAUAUUUUUACUUCAGCAUUUAAAAUAAUAUUUUUUUUCGCCAUUUAAUCUUCAACAUCACAGUUGUUCACGCUUUUUAAAACUUAUUUUUAAAAUUCAUACUAUAUUUGUGUAAUGUAUGCAAUACAUAUUUGUAAACUCUGUAGAACUUAAGUGGAUGUUUAUUGCAAUUUUUAAUGUAAAGUGCUGAACUGCCUUUCAAUGUGUAUAUAUAAUAUUUGUUGUAUAAAUACGUUCAUUAUUUAUCUAUGUAAUAGUGCUCUCUCUCUCUCUCUCUCUCUCUCUCUCUCUCUCUCUCUCUCUCUCUCUGUGUGUGUGUGUGUGUGUGUGUGUGUGUGUGUGUGUGUGUGUGUGUGUGUGUGUGUGUUUACCUGUUAGUGCUUUAGCUGUAAAAUUGUUUUGAUCUGCCAAAGUAAUAUAUAUAUAUAUAUAU
ensembl:lncRNA